AAGUCGUAACAAGGUAACCGUAGGUGAACCUGCGGUUGGAUCAUUAAUAAUGUCAGGGAUCCAGUCGAGAGUGCUUUCAACUCUCCUGGUAUUUCACUGCAUACACCCCAACUUUUGUGCACCGUUUCUGUCUCUGGUGGUCGCAAGAAUCCGGCAUUGAUGUCGCUCUUCUAGUUCACUUGUUGUUUGAACAAGUGGAUGAAGCCACCAACCGCUUGCAUUAUACACAUGUCUUUGUAAUUCCUGUCUGAUAUCAUUUUUGUAUGCAAUAUACAAAACAACUUUUGGCAACGGAUCUCUUGGCUCUC
rnacentral:misc_RNA from 1 species